GGGGAUUUAGCUCAGUGGUAGAGCGCUUGUCUAGCAAGUGCAAGGCCCUGGGUUCAGUCCCCA
rfam:Rattus norvegicus chromosome 4, whole genome shotgun sequence.